rnacentral:rRNA from 1 species
GACGAACGCUGGCGGCGUGCCUAAUACAUGCAAGUAGAACGCUGAAGAGAAGAGCUUGCUCUUCUUGGAUGAGUUGCGAACGGGUGAGUAACGCGUAGGUAACCUGCCUGGUAGCGGGGGAUAACUAUUGGAAACGAUAGCUAAUACCGCAUAAAAUUGAUUAUUGCAUGAUAAUUAAUUGAAAGAUGCAAUUGCAUCACUACCAGAUGGACCUGCGUUGUAUUAGCUAGUUGGUGAGGUAACGGCUCACCAAGGCGACGAUACAUAGCCGACCUGAGAGGGUGAUCGGCCACACUGGGACUGAGACACGGCCCAGACUCCUACGGGAGGCAGCAGUAGGGAAUCUUCGGCAAUGGGGGGAACCCUGACCGAGCAACGCCGCGUGAGUGAAGAAGGUUUUCGGAUCGUAAAGCUCUGUUGUAAGAGAAGAACGGGUGUGAGAGUGGAAAGUUCACACUGUGACGGUAUCUUACCAGAAAGGGACGGCUAACUACGUGCCAGCAGCCGCGGUAAUACGUAGGUCCCGAGCGUUGUCCGGAUUUAUUGGGCGUAAAGCGAGCGCAGGCGGUUAGAUAAGUCUGAAGUUAAAGGCUGUGGCUUAACCAUAGUAUGCUUUGGAAACUGUUUAACUUGAGUGCAGAAGGGGAGAGUGGAAUUCCAUGUGUAGCGGUGAAAUGCGUAGAUAUAUGGAGGAACACCGGUGGCGAAAGCGGCUCUCUGGUCUGUAACUGACGCUGAGGCUCGAAAGCGUGGGGAGCAAACAUGAUUAGAUACCCUGGUAGUCCACGCCGUAAACGAUGAGUGCUAGGUGUUAGGCCCUUUCCGGGGCUUAGUGCCGCAGCUAACGCAUUAAGCACUCCGCCUGGGGAGUACGACCGCAAGGUUGAAACUCAAAGGAAUUGACGGGGGCCCGCACAAGCGGUGGAGCAUGUGGUUUAAUUCGAAGCAACGCGAAGAACCUUACCAGGUCUUGACAUCCCUCUGACCGCUCUAGAGAUAGAGUUUUCCUUCGGGACAGAGGUGACAGGUGGUGCAUGGUUGUCGUCAGCUCGUGUCGUGAGAUGUUGGGUUAAGUCCCGCAACGAGCGCAACCCCUAUUGUUAGUUGCCAUCAUUCAGUUGGGCACUCUAGCGAGACUGCCGGUAAUAAACCGGAGGAAGGUGGGGAUGACGUCAAAUCAUCAUGCCCCUUAUGACCUGGGCUACACACGUGCUACAAUGGCUGGUACAACGAGUCGCAAGCCGGUGACGGCAAGCUAAUCUCUGAAAGCCAGUCUCAGUUCGGAUUGUAGGCUGCAACUCGCCUACAUGAAGUCGGAAUCGCUAGUAAUCGCGGAUCAGCACGCCGCGGUGAAUACGUUCCCGGGCCU